UUCCGCAGCACUGGAUAACAAAACAUGCUGAGACUUGGUAUCGUGGAAGUUAGCCCGGCCAAAUGGAGAACACGUGAGAGGCGUGAGAUGGCACAGCGAUCUGGAUUCUGUAUAGGAGGCUGAAUAGGAGACUGGGAGUAUAGGUCGGGGAGAGGCAUUUACUGGAACUGGAGGUCGGCCAAGUCUAGAUCAGAGCAGUUGAAGACUGUGGAAGCAAUGUGACCAGCAUCUAAGUUCCUGACGCCUUGACUUAACCCAGGAUGAACAAUACCCUAAGCCAUACAACCAAACUCUGCAUAGCACACGCGGCUGCCGCUGAAGAACCCCC
rnacentral:lncRNA from 1 species